AACGCACAUUGCACCCUCUGGUAUUCCGGAGGGUAUGCCUGUUUGAGCGUCAUUUCUCUCUCAAACUUUAUGUUUGGUAUUGAGUGAUACUCUACUUGUGUUAACUUGAAAUACGGUUUUGGAAAGGGUGUGUUAAACAGCCGUCGUCCUCGAUAAUGUAUUAGGUUCUACCAACUCGUUAUAGUGGAAGAUUGGACUGCUUAGCAUGUAAGCUCGGCCUAACAACCCCUUCAAUAAGUUUGACCUCAAAUCAGGUAGGACUACCCGCUGAACUUAA
rnacentral:misc_RNA from 1 species